AAUGAACUUAGCAUUGUAUGGGUGCGGUACAUUGUGCGUCUUGAGAAGUUGGCUCUCUUCUGGAGAUCGUGUGGCAUAUUUGUUAUCUUGGGAAACCUUAUCAGGUGGAAUUCUGUCGGAUGCUGAGCUGGUUUAUGGGCAGGGCACUGAUACUUCACAGCCGUGUUCCUGGUGUUCUGCAGUCUUCUCGCCAGCCACAUCUGUCUACUUUGAUCUCCUGAGCCAUUUUCUCCUGGACUAACACUGUUCUGCGAGAUCAUUUAGAAGCCCCCCCCCCCCCCCCCUCGUAUGGCUCUGAACGUCUGACCUCUGGUUUCUGGUUUUCUGACCACUUUCACUGCAAGAGCUUCUGCUGAAGCUGAGCUAUUUGGGAAAUGAAAAAUAAAAACUUGUGUAGGCUAAUGUUUGCCACAGACGCUGCGUGGCUACAGCCGCAUCUCCGCCAUCUAUACUGGCCCUGGCAUGUGGUAUUUUGACAUCUGCUCUGGAUUAAAGGCGGAUGAUGCCCAACAGAUCCUGGGCACAUGACAAUGGGAUGUUGUGUUCCCAUUAUGAUACCAGAUUGUUUUGGGAAACUCACUUAUCUCUCCUCUUUGUGAUGCAGAUGGACAUUCACUUGUGGUGUCUGCUGCCAGUUUAUUUUUUGUUCGCCUGGUAUAAUAGUUUGUAGUGGUGAG